AGAGUUUGAUCCUGGCUCAGGAUGAACGCUGGCGGCGUGCCUAAUACAUGCAAGUCGAACGCACAGCAAAAGGUGCUUGCACCUUUCAAGUGAGUGGCGAACGGGUGAGUAACACGUGGAUAACCUACCUCAAGGUUGGGGAUAACAUUUGGAAACAGAUGCUAAUACCGAAUAAAACUUCGUAUCGCAUGAUACAAGGUUAAAAGGCGCUACGGCGUCACCUAGAGAUGGAUCCGCGGUGCAUUAGUUAGUUGGUGGGGUAAAGGCCUACCAAGACAAUGAUGCAUAGCCGAGUUGAGAGACUGAUCGGCCACAUUGGGACUGAGACACGGCCCAAACUCCUACGGGAGGCUGCAGUAGGGAAUCUUCCACAAUGGGCGAAAGCCUGAUGGAGCAACGCCGCGUGUGUGAUGAAGGCUUUCGGGUCGUAAAGCACUGUUGUAUGGGAAGAACAGCUAGAGUAGGGAAUGACUUUAGUUUGACGGUACCAUACCAGAAAGGGACGGCUAAAUACGUGCCAGCAGCCGCGGUAAUACGUAUGUCCCGAGCGUUAUCCGGAUUUAUUGGGCGUAAAGCGAGCGCAGACGGUUGAUUAAGUCUGAUGUGAAAGCCCGGAGCUCAACUCCGGAAAGGCAUUGGAAACUGGUCAACUUGAGUGCAGUAGAGGUAAGUGGAACUUCCAUGUGAAGCCGGUGGAAAUGCGUAGAAUAUAUGGAAGAACACCAGCGGGGAAGGCGGCUUACUGGACUGUUAACUGACGUUGAGGCUUCGAAAAGUGGGGGUAGCAAACCAGGAUUAAGAUACCCUGGUAGUCCACCACCGUAAACGAUGAACACUAGGUGUUAGGAAGGUUUCCGCCUCUUUAGUGCCGAAGCUAACGCAUUAAGUGUUCCGCCUGGGGAGUACGACCGCAAGGUUGAAACUCAAAGGAAUUGACGGGGACCCGCACAAGCGGUGGAGCAUGUGGUUUAAUUCGAAGCAACGCGAAGAACCUUACCAGGUCUUGACAUCCUUUGAAGCUUUUAGAGAUAGAAGUGUUCUCUUCGGAGACAAAGUGACAGGUGGUGCAUGGUCGUCGUCAGUUCGUGUCGUGAGAUGUUGGGUUAAGUCCCGCAACGAGCGCAACCCUUAUUGUUAGUUGCCAGCAUUCAGAUGGGCACUCUAGCGAGACUGCCGGUGACAAACCGGAGGAAGGCGGGGACGACGUCAGAUCAUCAUGCCCCUUAUGACCUGGGCUACACACGUGCUACAAUGGCGUAUACAACGAGUUGCCAACCUGUGAAGGUGAGCUAAUCUCUUAAAGUACGUCUCAGUUCGGACUGCAGUCUGCAACUCGACUGCACGAAGUCGGAAUCGCUAGUAAUCGCGGAUCAGCACGCCGCGGUGAAUACGUUCCCGGGUCUUGCACUCACCGCCCGUCA
rnacentral:rRNA from 1 species